UCACAAAUCCAUCUUCAAGAAUCAACCCUUUUGCUCCUUUCUUUCUCUGGUCUCCCAUGGCAACUCUUCAAGACAUUGGGGUCUCAGCAUUGAUAAACAUAGUGAGUGCAUUUGCGUUCUUGCUGGCUUUUGCUCUCUUGAGAAUUCAACCAAUCAAUGACCGAGUUUACUUCCCAAAGUGGUACAUUAGUGGAGCAAGAAGCAGUCCAAGGAGGGCAGGCAAUUUUGUGGGCAAAUUUGUUAAUCUAAAUGUCAAGACUUACUUCACUUUCUUGAACUGGAUGCCUCAGGCUAUGAAGAUGUCUCAGACUGAGAUUAUUAACCAUGCUGGUCUUGAUUCUGCUGUUUUCUUGAGGAUUUACACUCUUGGUUUAAAGAUUUUUGUACCUAUGACGAUCCUGGCUCUCCUAAUUCUUAUUCCAGUCAAUGUAUCAAGUGGAACUUUGUUCUUUUUAAGGAAAGAAUUGGUUGUGAGUGACAUUGAUAAACUUUCAAUAUCUAAUGUUCGUCCUGAAUCCAUAAGAUUUUUUGUUCACAUAGCUUUGCAAUACUUGUUCACUGUAUGGAUUUGCUUCAUGCUUUACAAGGAAUAUGAUAUUGUAGCAUCCAUGAGGUUGCGUUUCUUGGCUUCGCAACGCAGGCGUGCUGAACAGUUUACUGUAGUGGUGAGUAAUGUGCCACAUGUUUCUGGGAAGUCAAAAUCAGACACAGUGGAGCAAUUUUUCAAAACAAACCACCCAAAUACCUACCUUUGUCAGCAGGCAGUCUAUAAUGCAAAUAAAUUUGCAAAACUUGUGAGAAAAAGAGAUAGGCUCCAAAAUUGGCUGGACUAUAACCAGCUUAAGUUUGAAAGGCAUCCAGACAAGAGGCCCACUCGAAAGAGUGGAUUUUUGGGAUUCUGGGGGGAAAGAGUCGACUCCAUUGACUACUACAAAAAACAAAUUGAAGAAAUUGAGAAAAGAAUGGCCUUGGAGCGCCAGAAAAUUCUCAAAGACUCAAAAUAUAUCUUGCCUGUUGCUUUUGUUUCAUUUAAUUCACGCUGGGGGGCUGCUGUUUGUGCACAGACACAACAAAGCAAGAACCCAACACUAUGGUUGACAAAUUGGGCACCAGAACCUCGUGAUAUUUACUGGCGUAAUUUGGCUAUACCAUUUGUUUCACUGAGCAUUCGCAAGCUUAUAAUAUCUUUGUCAGUGUUUGCUUUGGUGUUCUUUUACAUGAUUCCCAUUGCUUUUGUGCAAUCCCUUGCAAAUUUAGAGGGUCUUGAAAGAGUUGCUCCUUUCCUCAGGCCGGUAAUAGAGUUGAAAUUCAUCAAGUCAUUUCUUCAGGGUUUCCUUCCUGGUCUUGCUCUUAAAAUCUUUUUGUACAUUCUACCUACAAUUUUGAUGAUAAUGUCAAAAAUUGAGGGACACAUUGCAGUUUCAACUCUAGAACGAAGAGCAGCAGCAAAGUAUUAUUAUUUUAUGCUGGUUAAUGUAUUUUUGGGGAGCAUUGUUACUGGUACAGCUUUUGAGCAGCUACAUUCUUUCCUUCACCAAUCACCAACCCAGAUUCCUAGAACAAUUGGAGUUUCAAUUCCAAUGAAGGCUACUUUUUUCAUUACUUAUAUAAUGGUUGAUGGGUGGGCUGGUAUUGCUGGUGAGAUCCUUCGAUUGAAACCAUUGGUCAUAUUUCAUCUUAAGAACAUGUUUUUGGUAAAAACAGAAAGAGACAGAGAGAAGGCAAUGGACCCUGGUAGUGUGGACUUCCCAGAGACUCUUCCUAGUCUCCAACUAUACUUCCUUUUGGGUAUUGUCUAUGCAGUGGUUACUCCGAUCCUGCUUCCUUUUAUACUAGUUUUCUUUGCCUUGGCGUACUUGGUUUACCGCCAUCAGAUAAUUAAUGUCUACAAUCAACAAUAUGAGAGUGCUGGCGCAUUCUGGCCUCACGUUCACAGCCGCAUAAUAGCAAGUUUAUUGAUUUCUCAACUUCUGUUGAUGGGCCUGCUGAGUACAAAAAAAGCUGCUAAUUCCACUCCUUUGCUAGUUAUCUUGCCCAUAUUAACAUUAUCCUUCCACAAGUACUGCAAGAGUCGCUUUGAGCCGGCAUUUAGAAAGUAUCCACUUGAGGAAGCCAUGGCUAAAGACUUGUUAGAUCGGACCACGGAACCUGAUAUAAAUUUGAAAGCAUACUUGGCCGAUGCUUACUUGCACCCCAUCUUCCAUUCAUUCGAGGAAGAAGAGUUAGUCGAGGUUAGGGUGGACAAAUACCAAUCACGCGUUGCCAGUGCUCUGACCAGUGAACUUAGCUCGCCCUCUCCGCCACAUCAAGUCCAUCAUCCUUCUUCCCCACCACAUGUAUAUCAUCCACCACCUGAACAUAUAUAUCAUCCUUCCUCCCCACCUCAUUAUGCUUAUCAUCCAUCCUCCCCACCUCAUUAUGCCUACAACCAUGAAAAUGAAAGUUGAACAACUGUUUAUUUCAAGUUUUUUCAACCACUUACAACUGUUAGAGAUAGUGUUCCCUUGGGUUGUAAUUAUGGGUUCGGAAUGCUUUUCUUGAAAUAUACUUGGAAUUUCAGUCAUGCUAGGUUCUGUUGUUCGGUUCUUAGGAGAACCGCAAGGAAAUUUAGAAAAUUGCAUUGGCUAAUUACUUUGUAUCACGGUUUCAAGAAUUUUUUUUUAAUUUUUAAUUUUUAUUUUUUCUUAUGUAAUAUGUUUGACCAGGUCUUUUGGAGUUGUUGUAUAAAGCAUUUGAUAUGUUCAUUUUUCAUCGGCGUCUCGCCGACGGAAGUAGAGAAUUGCAUCUUCUUCUUCCUCUUCUUGUCAUAAUUUUAUUUUUAUGAUACAGAAAUCCUUGUUUGAUAUGUUGAUUGUAUUCUUACAAUUAAAAAUUAUGUGAACAAAAAUUUUAUCUCG
rnacentral:misc_RNA from 1 species